AAGCCAAAGUGCAUUCCCCUGUGAGCUGCUUCAGUAUUUCCGCUAUCGCUUUGAGCCCUGAGUGUUGGUUUUAUACGUGUUCAAGAUUCUGGAACAGCUGCCAAUUGGACAAAUACACUUUUCAAACUACUGUGCCGAGCUGUACUGCGCUAGCCAGGUUACGUAAUCCACCAUCGUUUCCGAAGCCAAUCUGUCAAGGACAAUGUGAAAAUAAAAUAUCCAAGUCAGUGAGGUACAGCGGCGAUUGGCACGCUAAGAGUAUACGAGUAUGGGAUCAGUUGCGGCGAGGGGAGUGGAUGCUCUGGCUCUAUUCCUAUUUGGAUAUCGGCCCAGUCAGCAGACAGUACACAACGAAGAGCGGUUCCCUACUUCACUGUCAUUCUCCACUCAGCUCAGCAGCUGCCAAGCAACCAGGCUACAUACAGUACACUACAAACCAGGAGAUGCAAGACCACCAACACCAGGAAGAUCUGGGACCAGUCAACAUAAACACACCUUUAGAUCUGUAGGAAUGCUGUGAUGUCGAUGGGUGUAGAGGUGUCUGAUUGGCCCAUGUCUUUCACCAGUCACCUACUGACAACGCCUGGUAUUGUUGAAGAUUUGUGAAAAUGUGCCUGUAUGUGAGUACGUACAGUGUCUGUUAGUAUGUUAUAUGCUUGUCUUCGUGUGUAAAGCAUGAAGUGUGUGUGUUGCCAUAAUCAGGCAUAAAGACCAUUGCUUUGUAGUACAACGUAGUAGCCUACAUCAGGCAAUUAAGAGUCUACCUGCUUUAACUACAGGCAAAAUAAACUAAAUCUAAUGCAAAUUGAUGCAAGCUUUUCCUAGCUGAUAUAGGAAACUUGGCAACUGCCCAGUAUGAAAACUGGUUCAGAUGUGUGUGCAUGGAUGUGACACCAGAGGUUGCCUGGGGCAACAUUAGGUAUAAAUAACUAAGGUCAGACAAGAAAAAAAAAAAGGAUUUUCCUCCUAGGCAAUGAGAUAAUUAGAUGUCAAGCUGCAUUAUGGGUAAUUAAUGUGGAAAAGUGUUAUUACAUAUGAAACAAACCAACACCAUAACAACAUGUUAAUUGUUAUACUUCCAACUGUUGCAAUGAAUGAGACUAACAUGGAUAGCAAGUUUGACUGAAUCAAAGUAAAACUGAAUUAAAAAGUAAUUAAGAGUGAAUGUAAUUAUUAACUAAUAUACUGUAGUCACCAAAAAAAAGGGUUGUUUUCAACAAGGUUGAUAUAGUUGAUCUUGUCUGUUGGACUGAAUAAAAAGGAAUUCUCAAUCGCUC